GAUGGAGGUCUCCUUCUAGAGUUUCCCUAUUGUUAGUCUCAGCCUGAGGGGUUGCAGAGGGCUCUGGAAGAAGAUCCACAGGAGGUGCUGGUUUAGGCGAUUUUGGAGUAUUAUCGACAGCCUUCAUCUGAUUUAAAGUGGCUGUUGAGGUUACAGGGGAUGACACAUGCACUGGUCCUCUCUUCUCUUCAUUGAAUGAGGCUGGGGGAUUUGGCAGCUCCAACUCCAUGAGGGCUGGGUUUGGGGUACCAAGGACAAGGUCAAUGGGAAGAUUGAUGGGACGUCCAAAGACCAUUUCACCAGGACUAAUGCCUGUAGAUUCAUGUACAGAAGAACGAUAGGCCAUCAUUAAGUAGGGUACAUGCAGCAUUGAAUUUGAUGCCGGCAAGGAAUGGUGACUUGGGACAUCUUGACUGUCAUGCGAGUCAACAUGAACUUCGGGUGAAGUUGGGUGUGGUUUAAAAGUAAUUUCAAAACUUUCAUCAGU